rnacentral:misc_RNA from 1 species
GUGAUCAUUGAUAUACCGUGAUGUCUCCGGUCCACCAUGACCAUCGUAUAUCCCAGCAAACGUUCCAUAAGGGCCAGAAUCAAGUAAGCUCAAAGGACCCGACUCGAUCUGGCUUUGAUCUUCCAGCAAAUUAUUUGCCUGUACAACUGCCAUUGAGAACUCACCAAUCAAGUGUUGACCACUAUCCUUAUACCAAAAAAGUCCAUCU